rnacentral:rRNA from 1 species
GCGGCAGGCCUACACAUGCAGUCGAGCGGCAGCGGGAAGUAGCUUGCUACUUUUGCCGGCGAGCGGCGGACGGGUGAGUAAUGCCUAGGGAUCUGCCCAGUCGUGGGGGAUAACAGUUGGAAACGACUGCUAAUACCGCAUACGCCCUACGGGGGAAAGGAGGGGACCUUCGGGCCUUUCACGAUUGGAUGAACCUAGGUGGGAUUAGCUAGGUGGUGAGGUAAUGGCUCACCAAGGCGACGAUCCCUAGCUGGUCUGAGAGGAUGAUCAGCCACACUGGAACUGAGACACGGCCCAGACUCCUACGGGAGGCAGCAGUGGGGAAUAUUGCACAAUGGGGGAAACCCUGAUGCAGCCAUGCCGCGUGUGUGAAGAAGGCCUUCGGGUUGUAAAGCACUUUCAGACAGGAGGAAAGGUACCGUGUUAAUAGCACGUUGCUGUGACGUUUCGGACAGAAAGAUGGACCG